rnacentral:rRNA from 1 species
AACGAACGCUGGCGGCAUGCCUAACACAUGCAAGUCGAACGAGAUCUUCGGGUCUAGUGGCGCACAGGUGCGUAACGCGUGGGAAUCUGCCCUUUGGUUCGGAAUAACAGUUGGAAACGACUGCUAAUACCGGAUGAUGACGAAAGUCCAAAGAUUUAUCGCCAGAGGAUGAGCCCGCGUAGGAUUAGCUAGUUGGUGUGGUAAAGGCGCACCAAGGCGACGAUCCUUAGCUGGUCUGAGAGGAUGAUCAGCCACACUGGGACUGAGACACGGCCCAGACUCCUACGGGAGGCAGCAGUGGGGAAUAUUGGACAAUGGGCGAAAGCCUGAUCCAGCAAUGCCGCGUGAGUGAUGAAGGCCUUAGGGUUGUAAAGCUCUUUUACCCGGGAUGAUAAUGACAGUACCGGGAGAAUAAGCUCCGGCCAACUCCGUGCCAGCCGCCGCCGUAAAA